rnacentral:rRNA from 1 species
AUUGAACGUUGGCGGCGUGGAUUAGGCAUGCAAGUCGAGCGGAAAGGCCCGCAAGGGCACUCGAGCGGCGUAAGGGACAGUAAUGUGUAGGUAACGUACCCCUGGGUCUAGGAUAGCUGCGGGGAAACUGCAAUUAAUACUAGAUAACGUCUCCGGACCAAAGGUGUGAUUCCACCUGGGGAGCGGCCUACAUCCUAUUAGCUAGUUGGCGAGGUAAUGGCUCACCAAGGCGAAGAUGGGUAGCAGGUGUGAGAGCACGACCUGCGUCACUGGGACUGAGACACUGCCCAGACACCUACGGGUGGCUGCAGUCGAGAAUCUUCGGCAAUGGGCGAAAGCCUGACCGAGCGACGCCGCGUGUGGGAUGAAGGCCUUCGGUUGUAACCACUGUCGGAGGGGAGUGAAGUGUUAGUGGGUUCGUCCCAUUAACUUGACUGAUCCUCGGAGGAAGGGUGGGCGUAAGUUCGUGCCAGCAGCCGCGGUAA